CUGUGCAAACCAGAGUAGGUGGGCGUAGGAGAACUGGUGGGCCCAGGACACUAUCUUGUCCAGGCUCCCUGUCUGUUGGAUCUCAAGGGCAUGCCAAAAGAGCUAGUGGGUAGGGGGCCCUGGGAAGCUGUCCACAGCCCUGGUGAGAAACUGCCUCCGCAUCAGCAGACCAAUGAGCUUCAGGAAGCCUAAGACCAAGAUCAGUCCAGAAGCCCACAGA